rfam:Vibrio phage nt-1, complete genome.
GCCCGAAUCGUAUAAUGGAAGUAUGAGGGAUUGCAAAUCCCGCGGUCAGAGUUCGAUUCUCUGUUCGGGCU